rnacentral:rRNA from 1 species
CCUACGGGAGGCUGCAGUGGGGAGUAUUGGACAAUGGGGGGAACCCUGAUCCAGCCAUGCCGCGUGUGUGAAGAAGGCCCUCGGGUUGUAAAGCACUUUCAGUGAGGAAGAACGCCUGGUGGUUAAUACCCAUCAGGAAAGACAUCACUCACAGAAGAAGCACCGGCUAACUCCGUGCCAGCAGCCGCGGUAAUACGGAGGGUGCGAGCGUUAAUCGGAAUUACUGGGCGUAAAGCGCGCGUAGGUGGCUUGAUAAGCCGGUUGUGAAAGCCCCGGGCUCAACCUGGGAACGGCAUCCGGAACUGUCAAGCUAGAGUGCAGGAGAGGAAGGUAGAAUUCCCGGUGUAGCGGUGAAAUGCGUAGAGAUCGGGAGGAAUACCAGUGGCGAAGGCGGCCUUCUGGACUGACACUGACACUGAGGUGCGAAAGCGUGGGUAGCAAACAGGAUUAGAUACCCCAGUAGUC